rnacentral:rRNA from 1 species
AGGUUAAGUGAAUAAGGGCGCACGGUGGAUGCCUUGGCACUAGGAGCCGAUGAAGGACGGGACUAACACCGAUAUGCUUUGGGGAGCUGUACGUAAGCUAUGAUCCAGAGAUUUCCGAAUGGGGGAACCCAACAUCUUUAAUAGGAUGUUACGAUUGUGUGAAUACAUAGCACAUUCGAGGUAGACGCAGAGAACUGAAACAUCUAAGUACCUGCAGGAAGAGAAAGAAAAUUCGAUUCCCUGAGUAGCGGCGAGCGAAACGGGAAAAGCCCAAACCAGCAAGCUUGCUUGUUGGGGUUGUAGGACUCCAAUAUGGUAGUUCUUUCAGAUAGUCGAAUGACUUGGAAAAGUCAGUCAAAGAGGGUAAAAACCCCGUAGACGAAAUGUGGAAGACACCUAGGAGGAUCCUGAGUACGGCGGAACACGAGAAAUUCCGUCGGAAUCCGGGAGGACCAUCUCCCAAGGCUAAAUACUCCCUAGUGACCGAUAGUGAACCAGUACCGUGAGGGAAAGGUGAAAAGCACCCCGGAAGGGGAGUGAAAUAGAACCUGAAACCGUGUGCCUACAACAAGUCAAAGCCCGUUAAUGGGUGAUGGCGUGCCUUUUGUAGAAUGAACCGGCGAGUUACGAUUGCAUGCGAGGUUAAGUUGAAGAGACGGAGCCGCAGCGAAAGCGAGUCUGAAUAGGGCGUUUGAGUAUGUAGUCGUAGACCCGAAACCAUGUGAUCUACCCAUGUCCAGGUUGAAGGUGCGGUAAAACGCACUGGAGGACCGAACCCACGUACGUUGAAAAGUGCGGGGAUGAGGUGUGGGUAGCGGAGAAAUUCCAAACGAACUUGGAGAUAGCUGGUUCUCUCCGAAAUAGCUUUAGGGCUAGCCUCGGAAUUGAGAAUGAUGGAGGUAGAGCACUGUUUGGACUAGGGGCCCAUCUCGGGUUACCGAAUUCAGAUAAACUCCGAAUGCCAUUCAUUCAUAUCCGGGAGUCAGACUGUGAGUGAUAAGAUCCAUAGUCGAAAGGGAAACAGCCCAGACCACCAGCUAAGGUCCCAAAAUAUAUGUUAAGUGGAAAAGGAUGUGGGGUUGCACAGACAACUAGGAUGUUGGCUUAGAAGCAGCCACCAUUUAAAGAGUGCGUAAUAGCUCACUAGUCGAGUGACCCUGCGCCGAAAAUGUACCGGGGCUAAACAUAUUACCGAAGCUGUGGAGUACACCUUUAGGUGUAUUGGUAGGAGAGCGUUCUAAGGGCGUUGAAGGCAGAUCGUGAGGACUGCUGGAGCGCUUAGAAGUGAGAAUGCCGGUAUGAGUAGCGAAAGACAGGUGAGAAUCCUGUCCACCGAAUGACUAAGGUUUCCUGGGGAAGGCUCGUCCGCCCAGGGUUAGUCGGGACCUAAGCCGAGGCCGACAGGCGUAGGCGAUGGAUAACAGGUUGAUAUUCCUGUACCCGUUGUUUUUGUUUGAGCAAUGGAGGGACGCAGGAGGCUAAGGAAUGCAGACGAUCGGAAAUGUCUGUCCAAGCAGUAAGUCUGAAGAGGAGUCAAAUGCUUCUUUUCUUAAGGACAAGCUGUGAUGGGGAGGGAAAUAAUAGUACCGAAGUUCCUGAUGUCACACUGCCGAGAAAAGCUUCUAGUGAGAAAACAGCGGCCCGUACCGCAAACCGACACAGGUAGUCGAGGAGAGAAUCCUAAGGUGAGCGAGAGAACUCUCGUUAAGGAACUCGGCAAAAUGACCCCGUAACUUCGGGAGAAGGGGUGCUGAUCAUACGAUCAGCCGCAGUGAAUAGGCCCAAGCGACUGUUUAUCAAAAACACAGGUCUCUGCAAAAUCGUAAGAUGAAGUAUAGGGGCUGACGCCUGCCCGGUGCUGGAAGGUUAAGAGGAGUGCUUAGCGCAAGCGAAGGUACGAAUUGAAGCCCCAGUAAACGGCGGCCGUAACUAUAACGGUCCUAAGGUAGCGAAAUUCCUUGUCGGGUAAGUUCCGACCCGCACGAAAGGCGUAACGAUUUGGGCACUGUCUCAACGAGAGACUCGGUGAAAUUUUAGUACCUGUGAAGAUGCAGGUUACCCGCGACAGGACGGAAAGACCCCAUGGAGCUUUACUGUAGUUUGAUAUUGAGUGUCUGUACCGCAUGUACAGGAUAGGUAGGAGCCGUAGAAAUCGGAACGCUAGUUUCGAUGGAGGCGCUGGUGGGAUACUACCCCUGCGUUAUGGCCACUCUAACCCGCACCACUAAUCGUGGUGGGAGACAGUGUCAGAUGGGCAGUUUGACUGGGGCGGUCGCCUCCUAAAAGGUAACGGAGGCGCCCAAAGGUUCCCUCAGAAUGGUUGGAAAUCAUUCGAAGAGUGUAAAGGCAGAAGGGAGCUUGACUGCGAGACCAACAAGUCGAGCAGGGACGAAAGUCGGGCUUAGUGAUCCGGUGGUUCCGCAUGGAAGGGCCAUCGCUCAACGGAUAAAAGCUACCCUGGGGAUAACAGGCUUAUCUCCCCCAAGAGUCCACAUCGACGGGGAGGUUUGGCACCUCGAUGUCGGCUCGUCGCAUCCU